rnacentral:tRNA from 1 species
UGAGAGAUAGUUUAUAUUUAGAACAUUCGACUGUUAAUCGAAAAGUUAAUAUCUCAG